ACUCGGUCUUGUCUCGAUCUUGAAGGUGUUUGGACUCGGUCUUGUCUCAGUCUUGAAGGUGUUUGGACUCGGUCUUGUCUCGAUCUUGAAGGUGUUUGGACUCACUCUUGUCUCGAUCUUGAAGGUGUUUGGACUCACUCUUGUCUCGAUCUUGAAGGCGCUUGGACUCGGUCUUGUCUCUGUCUCGAGGUCUGACACUCAAGUAAGUAAUAAAAUGGAGAUAGAUUUAUAAAAACGUUGAUAUAUAUGUGCCAAAAUAACUAUAAAAUACAAAUAAAUGUCAAUUACAACGAUGGUCUCGAUUUGGUCUCGAUGGGCCGUGAAUUUGGUCUUGUCUCGGUCUCGACCUUUAAACGUCUCGGUCUUGUCUCGGUCUUGACCCUCAGAGGUUUUGGUCUUCGCCCGGUCUCGGGACUCUGUGGUCUUAGACAGGUCUUGGUCUCGAUUAGUGCAAAACUACUAGAAUCAUUUGGAUAAUUUCAGAUCUGGAUUUGCCCAUCUCCACUGAACUGAAGUUAAAAGGUGGCGGUUCACGUGAAAACUACCACUACAUGACAUCACAAGGUGGAACAGACCAGCUUUAGAUUUAGACAGACUAAUAAUAAAGAUGUUUUUGACGAGGUAACAACAUUUUAACAUGGCUUAAAGCUCACAAGAGUCAAUUUUGCGUAAUAAUACAGGACCUUUUAAAGCGGCUGUACCUGAUUAAGUAGGAAGAUCAUUUUAAUGCCAAUCUGGAACAUUCCAGGCAAAGCAAAAAUAUCUCAGUGGAGACGAACAGGUGGCAGAAAAGUUUACACAGUGCAAAUUUAAAUGAAUACGCUCAAGUUUUGAUUUUGUACACUAUUUGACACACACGCUGUAUUUCCACUGUCAUUUUUUUAGCUGGAUGUAAAAUAUGACUUGCGACCACACUGUCAAAGGAGGAGGCGGCGGAGGUUAAACUUGUUUUUAUCUCACGCAAACCCUUCGCUUCAUCCUGAUAGUUCAUGUUCAGAAAUGCGUUAUAGGUUUGUUUACUUCGUUGAGUUCAAAAUGACGCACUUUGGGCCACGCCGUUAACGGUAAAAGCUGGACUGAACAUUUUCAUUUGCAGGUUUUUGUACGAGGACCAUAAAGGGAUAAAAGCAUGGCAAUUCCAGCUUUUGUUAGACACGUUGUUGGAUAAUAUUUAAGAAAUCAACAGUCAGGGACUAUUCCAGACAGUUGUUUCUCUCUUAAGAUGCAACAUUAGCGUGGAAGAAACUAAAUGGGCGGGGUUUAUAGUUCAGACUGACACAUGUUCCUCAGUCAUGGUUCAAAAAUUGGUUCAAUGUUUUUUUUUCAUCUACUUUAAAGAGACAGUGCAGAGUUUUGGACAUAGGGCCUCUUUUCCUAGUGAGCCAGAGUGUCGGAGACGUUUGGAGACACUUUUUUAAAUAUUCCAUCCAGUCCUUGUAUUUACAGAGAUUAGGGUUAGGGUUAGGUUAGUUUAUUCGUACCCGUAGGUAAAUUUGCUUUGCAGAUUUGAGAGGCAGGCCCCACAUUUCACAUUUCAUUCAUCCACAAAACACGUAUAAAAACACAAUUACAAAAUAAAGUGUUACAGAGCUCCAGUGCAGAACGGUUUGUUCCAUAAACAAUUAGUUAAAUUUAUCCAUCACGCUUGGCUAAAUUCACAAUAAAUAUUAAAUAUGUUAAAAACACACAAUCUUAGAUAAAUAGAUGACAAUUUAUUCAUAAGUACAAUAGCAGCCGGAACGAAGCUCCUUUUAAACGAUUUGUUCUAGAUCUUGGGACUAAAAGCCUCUGACCGGAGGGAAGCAGCUGAAACUCUGAGUUUAGUGGAUGUUGCACGUCUUUUAAAAUACUCUGGGACGUCCUCUGUAACUGUCUCGAGUACAGAGAGUCCAGGCGGCUCUGAGGAUGGACAAUCACCUCACUCGCCCCGUUUAACCAACUGAUUCAGGGAGUUCUUGUUUUUAGCAGAAAUGCUCCCAAACCAUGAGACCAAUGAAAACCAUGAGAUCACUGGUGUCUUACCCACUCCACAAAGACAAACGAACAAAGCCAAACGAACAAAGCCAAAUGAACAAAGCCAAACAAUCCUUAAAAAAGAAAAGUAAACCAGUUGUACUUACCUAACACAUAUAUGUACCAAAAUAACUAUAAAAUACAAAUAAAUGUUGAGAAUUACAAAGAUGGUCUCGAUUUGAUCUCGAUGGGUCAUGGUCUCGACCCUCAGAGGUCUUGGUCUUGUCCUGGUCUCGGGACUCUGUGGUCUUAGACUCUGUGGUCUUGGUCUCGAUUAGUGCGGUCUUGACUACAACACUACUAGAAUCUGGAUUUGGAUAAUUUCAGAUCUUGAUUUGCCCAUCUCUGCUGUACUAAAGUUAAAAGUGAGCAGUUAACAUGAAAAAUACCACUACAUGACAUCACAAUGUGGAACAGACCCGCUUUGGAGAUGUAGACAGACUAAUAAUACAAGGUAAUAAUAAUAAUAACAUUUACAUCGACAGUCUGGCGUAAUAAUUGUUUUGCUUCGGGUGUUUUGUGGAGUGGGUAAGACUGUUUUUAGUGGCAGGAUAAACUAUGGACAUUGACAUGCACUAGUCUAGCACCAGCGACCUCUGCAAAUACAAGGACUGGAUGGAAUAUUUAAAAAUGUGUCUAGGAAAUUAGGUCCUAUGUCCAAAAUUCCAGGCUGUCCCUUUAACUGUACGGAGCCUUUAAAGACUGAAGGACUAUGUGUGUUUUCUGUUAACUUCCACCUGCUUUUGUAUUGGUAUUUUGCAGUGACGUUAUGAUGGGUUUGUGCUACAUAUAUUUGACUAGGCUCUGUUCACGUUUACCAGAAGACGUUUGGAAACAUGCACAUGACGAUUUCCAGUGUAGUUACCGACAAUGGGCGUGUCAUAAAACCGUGGAUUCAGCAGCAGCAGCAGCAGCAGCGUCUUCACAACCUGCCAAAGCUUUCCACGGGGGACGGGACUCUAAUCGCGUCUUCGAUGUCACUCACAGGCAGCUGGUUGGAACUGUUGAUCUGCUGAACAUAACAUCUUUUUUAUGAAGUUAGGCAAAUUAUAAUACACCAAUUGAUAGGCAAUUUAUAAAAGGAAAAAAAGAAAGAAUACAAUGACAUCUAGAUCAGGGGUGUCAAACUCAUUUUGGUCCGGGGGCCGUAUCCAACCGGAUCAGAAAACUCAUGGCAUAUAAACCCCAAAAUAACAAUAAGUUUAAAUAUUUGUGCAGAAAAACACAAAUCUAUUACAGAAAUCUUUUUUAAUUGAUGAACUCUUUCUUUUACAAAAUAUUAUAAUAUUAUGAACAACCUGAAACUUUAAGAAAAAUACAAUUUCAACACAAAGUUUUAACAUGAACUUGUUUAACAUUAACUUGUAUAAAAAUAGGAAUAAGUAAAUUUUUCUUGGAAAAUCCUGCACUCGGCUCCACUUUUCUCAUGUUGGACAUUUUUCUGAUGAGGGUGUCACGGUCAACAGUCAAAACGAUCGUCCUUUAAGAGCGUUUGGAAAGAGACAAGUCUUCAUUUGUGCUGCUCUGGUGGGAGGGGCCACGUACAGAGACGCUGGAGACGCUGCUGUGAUAAACACCACAGAAAAUUAACAAGAUUUUAAUAAAAAGCAGAAUUUAAAUAUUUUAGUAGAAAAUCAGUCGAGGGCCAGAUUAAAGGUCUUGGAGGGCCGGAUCUGGCCCCCGGGCCGCAUGUUUGACACCUGUGAUCUAGAUAAAGAAAACCGAUUCCUCCCUUCGCGAUCAGAGCCCAAAGGAAGUCGUCAUCCGCAUGUUUCCAAACGUCUUCCGGGUUUGUGACGUAAGCGUGAAUAAAACCUACAGGUGGAUUGUUUAUCAGUUAUCACGAAGACACCAAAAACACAUUAGCGGACACUGUCAAAAGUUUUAUGAUCUGAAAGUCUGAAAACUCAAGAAUGUUCAACAAAUAUUCAACUAUAUUUGACCAUAAUUUUAUUUGAGAGCGAUUUGGAAAUCUCACCUUUUUAAAGUCCGUUCUUUCUGGUCAGAUGGUGUAAAAAUGAAGCUCUGAUAAAAGUUUAACAAAUUUUCAGAUAGAGCAGUGUCUAUUUUUGGCAUCAAACCCACCGGAAAGUUUGACAAAAAGUAUCAGUAAGGAAUAUUCCAACACAAACAAACCGAUGUCAGACAUGUUUUAGAAUCUAAUCAGUUUCUGCACCAAGACUUCUUUUUAAAUGUUCACUUUUUGCGACUCUGACAACAUUUUACCCUCUCCCCUCCUCCUCUUUCGUCCGCUCUGUCCUUUAAAAUGUCUCAUGUCACUGUUUCACCGAUACUAGUCAGACUCACUCUCCCAUUUCAGACCACGUCACAAUAGAAGUAGCUUUGUUAAGUCGAAUGGGUCCUUAUUCUGCAUGCCAGGGCAUAUUGUAAUAUAAAUAGAAGUGUUUUAUGCCAAAUGUGCUAUUUAUUCAAUGCAAUGCAAUUAUAGUGGCCUGAAUAGUGCACAUGUAUCUGUUAAAAUCCCCCAGGGCUGUAUACAAAAAUGGGCAUGGAUUUUUGAACACGGCGUAUUUAAGAAAAGCUUAAUUUGAACUCUCUCUUUCAUUGAUUUUUAAGCAACUAUUAACUUUCUGAUAAUGGAGUAGUGUUGACAAAAAUAAUUAAAACAAUUUUGUUCUGUUAAGGAAGCUGUAUUUGUAUUUGUAAUUCCUCUAAACCUUCUUUUAAGACGGUCAAAUCAAGCAGCAAAUCACUUCUUCUCUGUUAAUUAAAACACAGGUUGGAUCACACAUUUUAAUAAAACACAGUUAAGAUCAUUAUAUUUAAGAUUUUACUAAAGAUUUUACACGUUGGUUCCCAGUUUGGACAAUUUUCAGGUUCAAAAUUUUACUUUCUGGUUGAAAAUCUUGGUGUUACACUUUUUUUCUCCCUUUCUUUAUUAAAUACAAAAACUGGAAUUAAAACAAAGGUUAUUAAAAUACAAAGAAAUACAAAGAAAUGAUUCUAACCUCCUCUACCCUCUCUUAUCCAAAAAGGGAUUUUAUAACUGUUUCCCCGCAGCCAUGGUCCUAAAUUCCUCUAAUAUACGCAGAGAUUAUUAUUUGACAAUUACAUUUAUAAGAAAGCGCCUUUAUUUGGUUGAAAUCACGUUUAAACUUUCAGAAAAAUGUGUUUUGUUUUUCUAAGUAUGAAUUUUGUCUAAAUCUUGGAUCGAAUACUCCCCAUUGUGAAGAACUCUCUACUUGCUGUAAUUUUUAACAUGUUUUUCAAGUCUGCUUCACAAAUUGCUUCUUGAUUUUUGUAAAACUAAUUAUAUUUACAACAUGUAUUAUCCCACUAAAUUAAGCAGAAAUGAGAGAAUCAUAAAAACAUGUUACACGCACUUUAAAGACGCUGUAUUUGUUUUUUCAGUCUCUCCUUUAAACCGGUCAAAUCUACAAUCCAGCACCAAAUACAUUUUCAUGGAUCGGUUUCCAAGAUAUCGGUCCAUUCGAUAUUCCAUUUUGGUCCAUAAAUUGGUGUAAUAAGAUGAUUUACUGACCAAUUAAACUAUUUUUUUUACAAAGCUGUUAUUUUUAAAGGCUUCAAUUGAUGUAGACUAGAGUAUUGACAGAUACUUAAAGCUGCAUUGUGUAACUUUUCUGAUGGGUCCGUCAAAUGCGUCGGUUUUGGAGUCGUUAUUGGAGUCGUUAUUGGAGUCGAUAUUGGAGUCGUUAUUGGAGUCGUUAUUGGAGUCGAUAUUUGAGUCGUUAUUGCUUUGUCUGGGAUGUUUCACAGUACGGCAUUAAACCUUUCUAUUGUCAUGGAGACCAAACCCCAGGCCAAGUGACAGGUCAGAUCUGCGGAGAGGCGACCCCACUCACAGUCAGAAUGUCUGUUUUUCUAGGUAUUUUUGAGCUGUAAAACCACCUGUAAUUGAAUAAAUAUAAGCUCGAUAUGUUUAAUUUCAUACUGCGGAACAUUCCAGAAAGAGCAAUGACGUCUCCAUAGAAACAAGCAGAUGAUGGAUCCCCAAGCAAAGUUACACAGUGCGUCUUUUAAAGCCAAAAUAUCACGAUCAGAACUGAAAAACCUGCGUGCAUUUCUGUUAAUUUGUAUAUUUAAUUGAAGAUUUUUUAUUUUUUUUUUAAAUUCAUAGCGACUUCUCUUUGGCCUAAAUAUUCAAAAUUAAUACCAGGUUUGUUUCUAUAUUUUGUGUGGUGUUCUGUGCCCAUUUUUGAUACAGUCCGAUGCUUCAAACGUGCCAUAUUUUUGUGUUUACUUGUUUACAGUUGUUCUAAUGUGAAAUGAAGUGUCCGGUCCAAUGCAUGAGCGUUCUGUGUGCUGCUUCUGUCUGAAAAUACAACUAGAGUUUACAAUGUUCUGGGGCCACUCAGUAUUAAACAUGUUCAACUGUU